rnacentral:rRNA from 1 species
ACGGGGGAGUAACACGUGGAUAACCUACCUAUAGGACUGGGAUAACUUCGGGAAACCGGAGCUAAUACCAUAUAACAUGUUGAACCGCAUGGUUCAACAGUGAAAGACGGUCUUGCUGUCACUUAUAGAUGGAUCCCCGCCGCAGUACCUAGUUGGUAAGGUAACGGCUUACCAAGGCAACGAUGCGUAGCCUACCUGAGAGGGUGAUCGGCCACACUGGAACUGAGACACGGUCCAGACUCCUACGGGAGGCAGCAGUAGGGAAUCUUCCGCAAUGGGCGAAAGCCUGACGGAACAACGCCGCGUGAGUGAUGAACGUCUUCGGAUCGUAAAACUCUGUUAUUAAGGAAGAACAAAUGUGUAAGUAACUAUGCACGUCUUGACGGCACCUAAUCAGAAAGCCACGGCUAACUACCUGCCAACAGCCGCGGUAAUACGUAGGUGGCAAGCGUUAUCCGGAAUUAUUGGGCGUAAAGCGCGCGUAGGCGGUUUUUUAAGUCUGAUGUGAAAGCCCACGGCUCAACCGUGGAGGGUCAUUGGAAACUGGAAAACUUGAGUGCAGAAGAGGAAAGUGGAAU